GACGAACGCUGGCGGCGUGCUUAACACAUGCAAGUCGAACGGCAAGGCCCUGCUUUUUUGGGGUGCUCGAGUGGCGACCGGGUGAGUAACACGUGAGUAUCCUGCCCUUGCCUUUGGGAUCACUUCAGGCAACUGGGGGUAAUACCGAAACGGGGUGCUUGCCACUGGGUGGGGGUGGGAAGGUUUGGAGGGUUGGGGAUGGACGGGGGGUUUUGAUGCUUGUGGGUGGGGGGGUGGGUUACCAGGCCUUUGGGGGGUGGCGUGCCUGAGAGGGUGACCGGGCACCGGGGGACUGAGAUACGGCCCAGACUCCUACGGGAGGCAGCAGAGGGGAAUAUUGCACGAUGGGCCGAAGCCGAGUGCAGCAACGCCGCGUUCGGGAUGACGGCCUUCGGUUUGUAAACCGCUUUCGCCUGUGACUAAGCGUUAGUGACGGUAAUGGGUAAAUAAGCACCGGCUAACUACGUG
rnacentral:rRNA from 1 species